rnacentral:rRNA from 1 species
UACGUAGGUGGCAAGCGUUGUCCGGAAUUAUUGGGCGUAAAGCGCGCGCAGGCGGUCCUUUAAGUCUGAUGUGAAAGCCCACGGCUCAACCGUGGAGGGUCAUUGGAAACUGGGGGGCUUGAGUGCAGAAGAGGAAAGCGGAAUUCCACGUGUAGCGGUGAAAUGCGUAGAGAUGUGGAGGAACACCAGUGGCGAAGGCGGCUUUCUGGUCUGUAACUGACGCUGUGGCGCGAAAGCGUGGGGAGCAAACAGG